CCCCACAGUACACUGAAGUGUACUGCAUAUACCCAGAAGAAAAAAAACAGGAUACUUAACAAGAGCCAAACCCUCUGGACCAAUCAGGAAACAUGGAAAUAAAGAGUAUUAUAUAUCUGCACAAAUAGUGACUCUCCAUAAAGCAAUGGCAGAACAUACUACGCAAAGAGACAAUGCAAGUCUCAAGGCACGGAGACCCUCACAGGACAGCUGUAUGGUAUCCAGAAAGCAGUUUCACAGUUAAGAAGCAGGGGACAGAAGCCAACAGCUCCCCCUAUCAGCCUGCACGCAGGAAGCGGCAGAUGUGUGCCAUGCCUUGCCUGAACUCCGUGGGGCCCUGAGAGUCUUCCUCUUUGAGGGUCUCCGCCAGGUCCUGCGGGGUCGAGAGGCUGACUUCCUCGCUCUGCUCCUGCCGCUGCUCCGCCAUGGUCCUGGGCCUGUGCAUGACGAGUGGAGAUGCUGCCGUCUCACACGCCAAGCUUAUUUACAGACACAAUCCCUCAGCAGCACCCGCGCCCCCUCGGGAGGGGAUAUCGUUAAAUUCAGCCGUGCACAAUUAAAGGUGUAACAAACAA